rnacentral:lncRNA from 1 species
CAUAUGACACCAUGGACCCCGGCACACAGGGCACGCCCUUCACUGUGAGAACACGACAACGGCAGCCAGUUCAGGACACCCUGUUAUCAUGGCAAAGUCACAACCAGAUCUUAGGGCCUCAGGCCGUCUCUGUGACACCUGGACACUAUGGGACACAUCUGGGAAGAUGACAAUCCAGGAGGCAGUUAGGUGAGAAGCGCUGACCUCACGGCAGUGACAGAUGCCUGCUGAAAACCCAGCUGUGUUCCACACAAGAGUUUGGCACAACAGUUUUUCCCAACAGAAAGGCAGGGAUGGCUGCUCCACCGCCAGCAAGAGUGAGAUGGUCGCCCUCCACCCUUACCUCCUAGUUCCCUGCAACACAGGGCAGAAGAGGAAUGGAUUCCCACCACUGCAAGUCCUGCUGUGGCCUGGGGCUCCCAAUAGCUUAAACACAACAAAGCCUGGAGUUGAGACCUUCUUAGUUCUCCUGGCCAACCCCUGGCCUUCCUCUUCCAGGCGGUUCUUCACCUCUGAUCAUCUCCGAGGCCCAAGGGCUAGCCAGGGCCAGCCCACCAAGGAGUCCAGGAGUUCCUGCAUCUGGUAGGGAGGCGUGGCCCAGAGGCCUCCUUGUGUCCUCACGCCGGCGCUGUCCUGGGCAGGGCGGGCCACCUAGGGCAACAGUGCUCCAGCCUCGUUGCACAUGGAAUCAUCUAGGAGGUUUUUUGAGACAGGGUCUUGCUCUGUCACCCAGGCUGGAGUACAGUGCCUUGAUCACAGCUCACUGCAACCUUGAACUCCUGUGCUCUAGUGAUCCUCCCACCUCAGCCUCCCGAUAGCUGUGACUGCAGGGCACAUGCCACCACGCCAGGCUAAUUUUUAUAUUUUUAGUAGAGAUGACGUUUUGUCAUGUUGUCCAGGCUGGUCUUGAACUCCUGGGCUCAAGUGAUCCACCUACCUUGGCCCAUCUAGGAGUUUUUAAAGUGCCCGAAUGACCAAAGCAGACAAGUCUUUCACC